GACGAACGCUGGCGGCGUGCUUAACACAUGCAAGUCGAACGGAAAGGCCCUGCUUGCAGGGUACUCGAGUGGCGAACGGGUGAGUAACACGUGGGUGAUCUGCCCUGCACUUCGGGAUAAGCCUGGGAAACUGGGUCUAAUACCGGAUAGGAGCCAUUUUUAGUGUGAUGGUUGGAAAGUUUUUUCGGUGUAGGAUGAGCUCGCGGCCUAUCAGCUUGUUGAUGGGGUAAUGGCCUACCAAGGCGGCGACGGGUAGCCGGCCUGAGAGGGUGGACGGCCACAUUGGGACUGAGAUACGGCCCAGACUCCUACGGGAGGCAGCAGUGGGGAAUAUUGCACAAUGGGCGCAAGCCUGAUGCAGCGACGCCGCGUGGGGGAUGACGGCCUUCGGGUUGUAAACUCCUUUCGCUAGGGACGAAGCUUUUUGUGACGGUACCUAGAUAAGAAGCACCGGCUAACUACGUG
rnacentral:rRNA from 1 species